rnacentral:rRNA from 1 species
CAAAGGCUUGGUCCUGACUUUACCAUCUGCUCUAGAUUAUAUUUACACAUGCAAGUAUCCGCCCCCCUGUGAGAAUGCCCCACUUCUCGUCUGAGAAUAAGGAGCUGGUAUCAGGCACACAUCUAUCAGUAGCCCACAACACCUUGCUCAGCCACACCCCCAAGGGAUUUCAGCAGUCAA